UUUCUUUUAUCUAUGUUGUAUUUUUUGCAACUUGUUUCCUUAUUGUGAGAUAUCCUCCUUUGGUCUGCGGGGUGAGGAACAUAUAAUUUGAUAGUUACUUAUCAUCUUGGAAUGCCCUAUCCCUGUUUAUUUGUCUAUCAUACGCGAUUUGGCGUGUGCGAGUCGAGUCGGGUUUCCCAGGCCCAACACUGAAGAUGGCGAAAUACCGAAACGCAUCUGACAGCAAAAUCAGCGAAGAUAGGGCAGACCAUAGUGUUUUCCUGACCAUAAGAAAUCAACUGUGUUCCUGAUUCUUAUUUGACGUUUCAUACUGGCAUUCCGCCGUUCUUUGAUUCGUUCUAAAGAAUGCUUUCACCGUCACAUGCCUUCCCAGACUCCAGAAACAUUCCGGCAUUCCAUAAUCUUCUAUAUUUUAAAUUAUUUUUACAGGAAUCUUACAUUUUCUACUAUAUAUCUGUUACUGCUGAAUAUCUCUACAUUAUAAAAUAAAAGGCUUGGUCCGAUCUGAGACCAUAUGUAUUAGGGCCCAUCAUAGAAUUUUCUGAUUGUUUUUCCAAUAUUUCCUUAUCUCUUAUCCCUCUUUUGUUUCCGUUUUUUAUUUCAGUAACUUCCUGUCCCAUUUCAAAUCCUUUCUUAUCUGCCUUAUAUUCUUAGCUGCCACAGUUUUAUGAAAUUCCGAUUAACAUUUCAAGGCAGUUGACAUUCUUUUCAGUGUGCUCUCUUAUUUCUUUACUUUUGUUCUGCGGUCUUUAUUUUUUCUUUAUCUUGUUCCUAUCUUUCAAUGAAACUUAAGCUGCAUUUACCGUUUAAUUAUUCUCGUUUUAGGGGAAUAACCAAAAGAUAUAUAGCGACAGAGCCAAAACAAGAAAGAAAAAUGAGAUGUUGAAAAUUUAAAAUGUCCAAAAACGAAGAACCAAUUAUUAACAGUUUUGUUAUUUGACAACAACCAUAAUACCCAUCACUACCUUAAUAAAACCAUAUAAUAAACCCAAGAUAUAU